CUUUACCAGGAGGAACUGAACCUCUCCUAAGAAAUCAAAAUUCUUUGUG
rnacentral:tRNA from 1 species